rnacentral:rRNA from 1 species
UGACCGCUGGCGGCGUGCCUCAUACAUGCAAGUCGAGCGAACGGACGAGAAGCUUGCUUUUCUGAUGUUAGCGGCGGACGGGUGAGUAACACGUGGAUAACCUACCUAUAAGACUGGGAUAACUUCGGGAAACCGGAGCUAAUACCGGAUAAUAUUUUGAACCGCAUGGUUCACAAGUGAAAGACGGUCUUGCUGUCACUUAUAGAUGGAUCCGCGCUGCAUUAGCUAGUUGGUAAGGUAACGGCUUACCAAGGCAACGAUGCAUAGCCGACCUGAGAGGGUGAUCGGCCACACUGGAACUGAGACACGGUCCAGACUCCUACGGGAGGCAGCAGUAGGGAAUCUUCCGCAAUGGGCGAAAGCCUGACGGAGCAACGCCGCGUGAGUGAUGAAGGUCUUCGGAUCGUAAAACUCUGUUAUUAGGGAAGAACAUAUGUGUAAGUAACUGUGCACAUCUUGACGGUACCUAAUCAGAAAGCCACGGCUAACUACGUG